ACUAUUUUGGCAGAAAAAAUGUGAUGAUUUUAGAAGUCAUUAAUGUAUAAUUAUAUUAUAUAAGUAGUA
rnacentral:tRNA from 1 species